AGUGAACGCUGGCGGUAGGCCUAACACAUGCAAGUCGAACGGCAGCACAGUAAGAGCUUGCUCUUACGGGUGGCGAGUGGCGGACGGGUGAGGAAUACAUCGGAAUCUACUUUUUCGUGGGGGAUAACGUAGGGAAACUUACGCUAAUACCGCAUACGACCUACGGGUGAAAGCAGGGGAUCUUCGGACCUUGCGCGAUUGAAUGAGCCGAUGUCGGAUUAGCUAGUUGGCGGGGUAAAGGCCCUCCAAGGCGACGAUCCGUAGCUGGUCUGAGAGGAUGAUCAGCCACACUGGAACUGAGACACGGUCCAGACUCCUACGGGAGGCAGCAGUGGGGAAUAUUGGACAAUGGGCGCAAGCCUGAUCCAGCCAUGCCGCGUGGGUGAAGAAGGCCUUCGGGUUGUAAAGCCCUUUUGUUGGGAAAGAAAAGCAGCAGGUUAAUACCCCGCUGUUCUGACGGUACCCAAAGAAUAAGCACCGGCUAACUUCGUG
rnacentral:rRNA from 1 species